AAUUAGGUCAAAAACUGAGGAAAGCUAUGUGUCACCCCCACGUUCAUCACAACGACUAAUACACUGCGUGCGCGUGCACGUGAGUCUGCUCUGCUCGCUGCUGUUCCUGCGGAAUUCAGGAGACUGGUCGGACUCCGAAAGGCUUCCUACCUAGAAAAUAAUGAACAACAAAUUUGACGCUCUGAAAGAUGAUGACAGUGGAGACCACGACCAGGACCAAGGCUCACCGAAAGACGGUGAGAAGGAAAAAACUGAAGACGAGGACCAGAACAUCAAGAAAAAGUCACUUUCUGAUGUUCUGCAGAUGGUGGUGCCAGGGGCAGGAGAGCACCCUCUUCAAUACAACUACACCUUCUGGUACUCCAGACGCACCCCAGGGAGACCAGCCAGUACUCAGAGCUACGAGCAGAACAUUAAACAGAUUGGCAUCUUCGCCUCGGUGGAGCAGUUCUGGCGUUUCUAUAGUCACAUGAUCCGGCCCGGUGAUCUGACAGGCCACAGUGACUUCCACCUCUUCAAGGAGGGUAUUAAACCUAUGUGGGAGGAUGAUGCCAAUAAGAUGGGUGGGAAGUGGAUUAUCCGUCUGAGGAAAGGCCUGGCAUCUCGUUGCUGGGAGAACCUGAUCCUGGCCAUGCUCGGGGAGCAGUUCAUGGUCGGAGAGGAGAUCUGCGGGGCCGUGGUGUCGGUACGCUUCCAGGAGGACAUCAUCUCCAUUUGGAACAAGACCGCUGGCGACCAGGCGACCACCGCCCGUAUCAGAGACACCCUGCGCAGAGUCCUCAACCUGCCCCCCAACACCAUCAUGGAGUACAAGACUCACAAUGACAGCAUCAAACUAUUGGUUGAAAACUAUUGGUUGGGCUCUGGAAACUGAUGAUUUUGUUUACAGUUUUCUGACAUUUUGUAAAUUGUACAUUUAAAUUAAAAUGUCAACAAUAUAACCAAUAAAUCAGUUUUUCUAUUAUUUGUUGUUGUAUGUUAUGAAAAGACUAUCAAGUAAAAUACAACCUUGUCUGUAACUUCAACAUGUUUCACCUGCUUUUGAUCUAAAUUCAUUAGUGUCGGGAUUAUAGUUGUGAUUCUCUUUUUGAAAAGACCUAAAUAUCCAAACGGUUUGUUUAUUUUGAAUGAUGAUGUGCUGCAUCCUUUGUUGGCAGAGCAUGGGAAGACUUCCAUGGACUGGUGAAUCCUAGUGGUGGACUUUAGCCUCUCACACAGACCACCUCUGCAAGAGUGUGUAUGUAUAUGUGAUGUGCUGGAGGAUGACGAGUCCGGGGAAGGAUACUUCUACGUGAAAUUGGCGCUGUGUAACAUGAAGACGGAGCAAAAGUCAGGAACAGAGGCAAGAACACCACCAUUCCUUCUUUGCGUCAAAUUGGAAAUGAACAGAGAAGCCGGUCACGGACACCGAACCAAGCCGAAGAGAGAAACGUGCGUUAUUUUUAAUCAACCAGAGAAGAACAAAGCCUCCAAUUUCAUUUUAUUUUUUUAAUGCAAGAUGUAACAUCUGUCAACUUGCCACCAGAGGGAGGCCAUGUGACUGGUGUUUGCUGAUCUGGUUACUAGCUGUUGACAAAGUGUACUUGACAAAAUACAACAAAACCAAUCUGUUAUAGUACUAUAUCUGAUUUUAUUGCUUAACAUAACAUCACACCUCCUGCUGUUUCAAAUUAAUCUCUGUUAAUCUGUUUUAUUGGGACUCAAACAGGGUGGCAGGUAGAUGUUAUUUUAUUACAGUGCUGUAUUUUAACUACAAUUUCUCUGGUCAUUUCGAACUAGAAUGCUAACUGUUAUUGUGUACGAUAUGUUUGUAAAUACAGUCCACUUCAAAGAUCACUUUACUGGAUCCGCAAUGAUUCUCCAUCUUUGACUUGGAAGUCGAAUCCCAAAGGAUGAGGCCCAUCCUGUGUUGGGCAGAAGUUUGUAUAACUGGCAUCUUAAGAAUGGACUGCCAAGCUGCCUAAAUCACUGUGCCUGGCCUCGAGCCUGACCCUGAACCAGUUUCCCCUUCUGUCUGUUUUGUCUUCAUCCCGCCUUGAAAGAAUCCAGGGGAUGGGCUCUGCUUUAAUGUCCUCAUCAAAUGUGUGUAGGAGUUCUGAAACACUGACCGUCACUCCUUUUGCCAGUUUGUAUUAAAAAAAGAAACGAGACUGGGCCGACGGUCAGGGUCUGUUAAAGUUUCUAUCAAUUCCUUGGGAGCAUUUUUUGGAAUCGCGUCAAGAAAGCGCCUAUAGUUUGUUGAAAAACUGUAAUGCUGCCCGUGUUUGGUGGUGCGAUGAUGGGUGCAGGUGUGCGUCGGCAGUGAAGAGACACUGUUGGAUCUACACCUGAUGGAUUAUAGCAAUAAAUGUCAAAUAUGCAUCUGCUGCUAAA